rnacentral:rRNA from 1 species
GAUGAACGCUAGCGGGAGGCUUAACACAUGCAAGUCGAGGGGCAGCAUAGGGUAGCAAUACUCUGAUGGCGACCGGCAAACGGGUGAGUAACGCGUAUGUAACCUACCCUGUACAGGGGGAUAACCCGGAGAAAUUCGGACUAAUAUCCCAUAACAAUAUCCGGGGGCAUCUUUGGAUAUUUAAAGUUCCGGCGGUACGGGAUGGGCAUGCGUAACAUUAGCUAGUUGGUAAGGUAACGGCUUACCAAGGCUUUGAUGUUUAGGAGUCCUGAGAGGGUGGUCCCCCACACUGGUACUGAGACACGGACCAGACUCCUACGGGAGGCAGCAGUGAGGAAUAUUGGUCAAUGGGCGCAAGCCUGAACCAGCCAUCCCGCGUGCAGGAAGACGGCGCCAUGCGUUGUAAACUGCUUUUCCAGGGAGAGAAACUUGCGCACGUGUUGCGCAAUUGACGGUACCCUGGGAAUAAGCAUCGGCUAACUCCGUG